rnacentral:rRNA from 1 species
CCUACGGGUGGCAGCAGUGAGGAAUAUUGGGCAAUGGGCGCAAGCCUGACCCAGCAACGCCGCGUGAAGGAAGAAGGCUUUCGGGUUGUAAACUUCUUUUCUCAGGGACGAAGCAAGUGACGGUACCUGAAGAAUAAGCCACGGCGAACUACGUGCCAGGAGCCGCUGUAAUACGUAGGUGGCGAGCGUUAUGCGGAUUUACUGGGUGUAAAGGGCGUGUGGGCGGGACUGGAAGUCAGAUGUGAAAACCAUGGGCUCAACCUGUGGCCUGCAUUUGAAACUGUAGUUCUUGAGUACUGGAGAGGCAGACGGAAUUCCCAGUGUAGCGGUGAAAUGCGUAGAUAUUAGGAGGAACACCAGUGGCGAAGGCGGUCUGCUGGACAGCAACUGACGCUGAGGCGCGAAAGCGUGGGUAGCAAACAGGAUUAGAUACCCUAGUAGUC